rnacentral:rRNA from 1 species
GGGGAAUUGUUCGCAAUGGGCGCAAGCCUGACGACGCAACGCCGCGUGGAGGAUGAAGAUCUUCGGGUCGUAAACUCCUUUCGAUCGAGACGAAUGGCCCCUGGGCUAAUCACCAGGGGAAUGACGGUACCGAGAGAAGAAGCCCCGGCUAACUCCGUGCCAGCAGCCGCGGUAAUACGGAGGGUGCAAGCGUUAUCCGGAUUUACUGGGUUUAAAGGGUGCGUAGGUGGGUCUGUAAGUCAGUGGUGAAAUCUCCGAGCUUAACUCGGAAACUGCCAUUGAUACUAUAGGUCUUGAAUUAUCUGGAGGUAAGCGGAAUAUGUCAUGUAGCGGUGAAAUGCUUAGAUAUGACAUAGAACACCAAUUGCGAAGGCAGCUUACUACGGAUCGAUUGACACUGAGGCACGAAAGCGUGGGGAUCAAA